GUGACUGAAGGAGUGGGAUGGUUUGAUUUAUUUUUGUAUUUUGUAUUAUCUCGGGUCAGUAGUCUGCCAUAAAACAUUGAAGAAGCAGGAGGCAGGCUCUCUUGGCCCAGCAACACGCAUGCACCGUAACCAUAGAAACAGACCAUACUGUCAAAGAUUUUCAUUGUUCUAUCUGUGAUACUGUGCUGUAUGUAGCCUGUAGCUAGCUAAAUAUUAUUUUUUUGUGGGGGGAUUUGUCAUUCAUGCUACAAAUUAUGGUUGUACGAGUUGAAGAAGUUGCUGCAUCGCUUGUGCGGGAAUUUCUCAGUCGGAAGGGACUCAAGAGAACGAUUGCUUGCAUGGAUGAAGAGCAUCCCCGUACAGAUGCCAGCAUCAAUAAUAGAUCCGACCUGCGACAAAUUCUUCACCUGGAAGGUCUAUAUAAAAAAAACAAGGCCCAAGACUGUCCCCUGAAAUCAAUGUUGGAGAUCAUUGUAAGACAUCACAUUGAAGGACAUAAAGAGGACAGGACAGGCUUCAACAGUGAUGUCAUCCAGACCGUAUCAACUACACAGAAUUUGGUGACAAAGUCUCCAACAGUGACACCAACAGUGUAUGACAACACCAGGGCAGAAGAGAACACUACUGGAUUGAUUUUCAACAAAACUGACAUGUCAAGGUCACUUGCAGAGGUUGUCUGUUCGUCUCAUGGUACAUUAUCAUCAUUUGAAGCGUCAAAUACUCCCCCUACAACCACCCAGAGAAGUAUCUGGAGCCAUAGCCUUUCCUCAGAGGGCCAGCAGGACAGACAGCCUGUACCCUCCUUCCUAGACAAUGACAGCUCCGCUAAGAGGGAAUCCUUUUCAGACAAAAACACGGUUGUCACCACAGAGAGUACUAAUAAGAACAAAACAAGCCGCCUCAGACGUGGCAUGAUGGCAGGUCCUGUAGCUAGUUCCCCUCAGGAAUCAAAUAAAAAACGUCAGACUCGACGGUUGGGAGGCCCUAAUCCUCUCCUGGCAAAUGAUGAAAACAACAAAAACAUCAGAGAUGGGUCUCUGUUGACUACUGUCCAGUCACAGAGAAUGGUUACAGGGUUGACAGAGCUCUCCACUGCUGACCCCAUGAGAGAAAGCCAACAGCCACGCAGCACACUGGGGAAAGGAUUUGAUGAAGAUGGCUUUGGGUUUGAGAGAGUAGGUCAAGACAAGCACAAGACCAGCAAAACAAAAUCAAUGACCAAUCAAAAUGUUGAUCUGCACAUGUCGGAGAUGAUUUUGGAUGAUAUUGAUGAUGAUGAGGAGUUGCGUGAUCUCUCAAGAGUGUCCUGCCACUCCUCCAGUUUGCCUCAAACCACUUCUGAUAGUCAACCCAUGAACCAGCAUACUGCCAUUGCCCUGAAAGAGCUCAUCCUUGGCUCCAGCACCAGUUGUUUCAGUGCAGAGUGGAGGAGUCAGAGUUUCACUUUCUCCGAUACACCUGAUCUGAGAUAUGGGCUUGUUCAGAAGAAGGGUGGUCCCUGUGGAGUUCUGGCUUCAGUCCAGGCUUGUAUUCUGCAGAAACUUCUAUUUGAGGAGACCGGCAGCGAUGCAGGGCACCAGAGAUUAAGACCCUCCGGUGCUGUGAGAACAAAGUGCCUCACGUUGGCCACUGCUGAGAUCCUGUGGAGGGCUGGGGAGGGGAAAAAAGCCACCAUCGCCAUAACAUCAGGAAGAAACCAUUUCACCCUUACAGGACACCGUAGAUCUGAAGGAGUACUAGAAAAGAUCACAUGUAUUCAUGUAGAUAAUCUAAAGGACCUUCAGUUGCUUGUGGAACAGCACAUUCAACAGUUUGAGUCAGGAGCCUUGGGGUGUAUAUUGCUCACCAUCUCUGCUAUUCUCUCCAGAUCUAUUGACCGGGUUAGAGAGGAUAUGGAUGUCCCCACCACCACACUCAUCGGAGCCCAUGGCUACUGCACACAGGAGCUGGUGAAUUUAUUGCUGUGUGGACAGGCUGUGUCCAAUGUCUUCAACAACAACAUGGAGCUGGAUUCAGGCAAUGGAAACCUGACCCUUCUCAAGGGAAUAAGAGGUCGCAGUGACAUUGGACUGCUGUCCUUAUUUGAACAUUAUAAUAUAUGCAAGGUUGGUUCCAACCUGAAGACUCCCAAGUUCCCUAUCUGGGUGGUGUGCAGCGAGAGCCAUUUCAGCGUGCUCUUUGGCGUGCAGGAGCUGCUGACGGACCAGUGUGUGCUCGGGGAGUUUGACUUGUACUACUACGACGGCCUAGCCAAUCAGCAGGAGGAAAUCUGCCUAACUGUCUCUGUAGGUACCUCAGGAAUAUCUGCUGGCUGCCAAGAUAUCCACACUGAUCUCAUUCCUCCUCUUGAACACUGUAUACGGACCAAAUGGAAAGAUGCCAUUGUCAAUUGGAAUGACACCGAGCCCAUCCUUUGACUGGCUAGUGGACAGAAGGGGCCAUUUUGAGACCUGAAGGAGCAUCAGGUUCUGCUGGAAUCUCCAUCUUUUUCAUCAUCGACGAGACAUUAGAACACGCUGAACACAGUGCUGUGGUGUGAUGAAGGCAGGGAGGUGGUGGCAAGAAGGAGGCCUUUGCCAACACCUCAAGCAACAGGAAUCAAAGAUACUGCAACUGGCACCGAGACAGAGCGGCGUCGCCUUCAUUUACUGUGAAACUCACUUGGAGGUUCCAUCAUGCUGCAGCAUCCCCGGGGUCUUGUCCAUUAAGAACCCAGCAGACCAUUGUUUUAUCAGAGCAGCCAUUUUGAGUGGAAGGGUCAAAACCGGUCCAAAACACUCUUGACAAUGGAAUUGGGUGGAACAGGAAGGAAUUUCUUUGUCAGUCAAAGUCUCUAAUCUUAGCGUUCUAAAAUAAUUAUUAGGUGGGGGUACAAGUUUGAAUUGUGUUUUUUACAUAUCCCACUUCCCCUGAGACAACCUCGGAGAGUGGGGUCAGAGGGCUCCAAGCAAGAUGUCACCUUGUGGGGCAUCAAUGAUCAUGAGGAAG